rnacentral:rRNA from 1 species
GAUGAACGCUGGCGGCGUGCCUAAUACAUGCAAGUAGAACGCUGAAGGAAGGAGCUUGCUCUUUCCGGAUGAGUUGCGAACGGGUGAGUAACGCGUAGGUAACCUGCCUGGUAGCGGGGGAUAACUAUUGGAAACGAUAGCUAAUACCGCAUAACAGUAGAUAUUGCAUGAUAUCUGCUUGAAAGGUGCAAUUGCACCACUACCAGAUGGACCUGCGUUGUAUUAGCUGGUUGGUGAGGUAACGGCUCACCAAGGCGACGAUACAUAGCCGACCUGAGAGGGUGAUCGGCCACACUGGGACUGAGACACGGCCCAGACUCCUACGGGAGGCAGCAGUAGGGAAUCUUCGGCAAUGGACGGAAGUCUGACCGAGCAACGCCGCGUGAGUGAAGAAGGUUUUCGGAUCGUAAAGCUCUGUUGUAAGAGAAGAACGAGUGUGAGAGUGGAAAGUUCACACGGUGACGGUAUCUACCAGA